UACGUCGGGGGCGAGCGUUGUCCGGAAUCAUUGGGCGUAAAGCGCGUGUAGGCGGCUCGUUAAGUCCGGUGUGAAACCUUGGGGCUCAACCCCAAGCCUGCACUGGAUACUGACGAGCUCGAGUCCGGGAGGGGAGAGCGGAAUUCCUAGUGUAGCGGUGAAAUGCGCAGAUAUUAGGAAGAACACCGGUGGCGAAGGCGGCUCUCUGGAACGGUACUGACGCUGAGACGCGAAAGCGUGGGGAGCGAACAGG
rnacentral:rRNA from 1 species